AGACUUACCUGUUGGGGUGAUACCAUGAGCAUGAAGAUGGUUUUGCCAGGGCAAGGCUUAUUCAUUGCACAAGCUUUAUUUAAAGCAGUUAACUGGGUCAUUGUUCUCAGAGCAGGGGCCUUCA
rnacentral:snRNA from 1 species